CUACCAUGGCGUUUACGGGUAACGGAGGAUUAGGGUUCGAUUCCGGAGAGGGAGCCUGAGAAACGGCUACCACAUCUAAGGAAGGCAGCAGGCGCGUAAAUUACCCAAUCCUGAUUCAGGGAGGUAGUGACAAGAAAUAACGGACCGAGGCCCUCGGGCUUCGGGAUUGCAAUGAGCCGAAUUUACACCCCUUAGCGAGGAUCAAUUGGAGGGCAAGUCUGGUGCCAGCAGCCGCGGUAAUUCCAGCUCCAAUAGCGUAUAUUAAAGUUGUUGCAGUUAAAAAGCUCGUAGUUGGAUUUCUGGGAGGGUGCCAAUGUCCGCCGACGUGCGUGCGCAGCGGCGCCCUCUCAUCCUUCUGUUAACGUCUCUCGGCAUUCACUUGCCGGUGGCGGGCUCAGAUAUUUUACCUUGAGAAAAUUAGAGUGUUUCAGGCAGGCUAGGCCGGAAUACAUUAGCAUGGAAUAAUGGAAUAGGACUUCGGUCUCUUUGUUGGUUUGAGGGACUGCAGUAAUGAUUAAUAGGGAUAGUUGGGGGCAUUAGUAUUUAAUUGUCAGAGGUGGAAUUCUCGGAUUUGUUAAAGACUAACUUAUGCGAAAGCAUUUGCCAAGGAUGUUUUCAUUAAUCAA
rnacentral:rRNA from 1 species